AUGUCGCAAGCGUUAUCCGGAUUUAUUGGGUGUAAAGGGAGCGUAGACGGCAUGGCAAGCCAGCUGUGAAAGCCCGGGGCUCAACCCCGGGACUGCAUUUGGAACUGUCAGGCUAGAGUGUCGGAGAGGUAAGCGGAAUUCCUAGUGUAGCGGUGAAAUGCGGAGAUAUUAGGAGGAACACCGGUGGCGAAGGCGGCUUACUGGACGAUGACUGACGUUGAGGCUCGAAAGCGUGGGGAGCAAA
rnacentral:rRNA from 1 species